ACAAAAAGCAAAUAGAAGGAUUACUAAGGAUGUACAUACACGAUACACACAGUCGAGGGUCGACAUAUUCUAAAAUACCUAAUCUGAUCUUAACCCGCCGCAGCCAUGCUCUUCUUUUGUUCUAACCCUAAAUCCCUCUCUCAGAAGUCAGAUCUUACAAUCGAUCGAUUCGAUUAGUUCUUAUAAGUUCUUACGAGAUUUGAUCUAAUUGUAGUCGAGUUUUUCAAAUCAUUCACCUUAGUUAAAUAGUUGAAUAAUGGAACAAGGUGUUGUAUUUCAUGUGUCCAGAUUUCAGCCAAGCAUUGUUAGGGAUCUGCUCACUUGUUCUGUUUGUAACUUUGUUUGCAUAUCAGGUCGCAGUCAUAAGUAAAGUGAAACUAUAUUUGAGAAUGUGUAUUUGAUUUUUG